rnacentral:lncRNA from 1 species
GAGCAGCAAAAAGAGGCUUAUUCUCAGGGCAGAGAAGAUGCUUUGGUGCAGCUUGCUCUCCAGCGCGGUGAACAUUGAGUCUCUGAGACAGUUUUCCACCUUCCAGCGAUUUAUGGGCUUCCCGGAGACACGGUUCUGUCUAUCCAGGCACAAAAAUUUGUUCUCUGCUACCACACGUCGGGGCUUCGUCUGGCCACGGUUAAGGCUCAGGAUGCUGAGGGCUUGCUUUUCCAGCACUGAGCUUCUCCUCCCAUGUGCCCCAGAUGUUCAUUCCAGCUGCAGCCAGCCUGGGAACGCAGGGGAAUGAUUUACAGCCGGGAAAAGACGGUCCAGCUGAACACAGGCAAGCCAUGUCUUUUCUCCAUGGCAGAAGGGCACCAGAUCUUCCUGUUAUGUGUUCUUCUUGCCCCAAUGGUGGGGACAUCACAGCCCUCGAGGACAUCGCUGCCCUUGGGGCCAUCAUUGCCCAGCCCAGGAUGGUGUCUGGGCUGCUCCCCCGGGAAAAGGCAGGAACAGGUCAGGAACCAGCAGAACCGGCUGUGUGCUGGGUUCCUGUCUGUGCAGACACGGCAGUCCUACGGCUCUCGCUGGGGUCUCCCCUGUUUCCAGUGCUGUCGAGCAGCUCUCAGAUCUGUGAUAAUUUAAUUAACCUGCCCUGUUCUGCCGCGGCUGUCGGAGCAGGGGAAAAGGAUCCAGGCACCCGGGGAGUUCCUUCUUUGCCUGAGCACAUACGUCUCCUACGCAAAAGUCACAGAAGAGCAAUUUCCCCACCAGGAAAGCUCAUUGUGGGUUUUUUUUAA